rnacentral:rRNA from 1 species
UGGGGGAUAUUGCACAAUGGGCGAAAGCCUGAUGCAGCGACGCCGCGUGGGGGAUGAAGGCUUUCGGGUUGUAAACCUCUUUCGCUAUCGAACAAGGCCCGCUUAGGGUGGGUUGAGGGUAUGCGGAGAAGAAGCGCCGGCUAACUACGUGCCAGCAGCCGCGGUAAUACGUAGGGCGCGAGCGUUGUUCGGAAGUAUUGGGCGUAAAGGGCUUGUAUGCGGCUUGUUGCGCCGGCUGUGAAAACGCGGGGCUUAACUUCGCGCGUGCAGUGGGUACGGGCAGGCUUGAGUGUGGUAGGGGUGACUGGAAUUCCAGGUGUAGCGGUUGAAUGCGCAGAUAUCUGGAGGAACACCGAUGGCGGAAGCAGGUCACUGGGCCAUUACUGACGCUGAGGAGCGAAAGCAUGGGUAGCGAACAGG